AUUGAACGCUGGCGGCAGGCCUAACACAUGCAAGUAGAACGAGUGGCGGACGGGUGAGUAAUGUGUGGGAAACUGCCUGAUGGAGGGGGAUAAGUAGUGGAAAGGGUAGAUAAUACGGCAUACAAUAGGAUGGGCGCAGAUGGGAUUAGCGAGUAGGUGGGGUAAAGGCUCACCUAGGCGACGAUCCCUAGCUGGUCUGAGAGGAUGACCAGCCACACUGGAACUGAGACACGGUCCAGACUCCUACGGGAGGCAGCAGUGGGGAAUAUUGCACAAUGGGCGCAAGCCUGAUGCAGCCAUGCCGCGUGUAUGAAGAAGGCCUUCGGGUUGUAAAGUACUUUCAGCGGGGAGGCGUUACCCGCAGAAGAAGCACCGGCUAACUCCGUGCCAGCAGCCGCGGUAAUAC
rnacentral:rRNA from 1 species